rnacentral:rRNA from 1 species
UACGUAGGGUCCGAGCGUUGUCCGGAAUUAUUGGGCGUAAAGAGCUCGUAGGCGGUCUGUCGCGUCUGCUGUGAAAACUCAGGGCUUAACCCUGAGCUUGCAGUGGGUACGGGCAGACUAGAGUGCGGUAGGGGAGACUGGAAUUCCUGGUGUAGCGGUGAAAUGCGCAGAUAUCAGGAGGAACACCAAUGGCGAAGGCAGCACUCUGGGACGUGACUGACGCUGAAGACGCGAAAGCGUGGGGAGCAAACAGG